rnacentral:lncRNA from 1 species
ACCACAAAUAACCUUUCCCUUAUAAUUUAUUUUUGAGUGUAUCUUAUCUCAAAAGAUAAUUCUUGAUUUUCAAUUUUUUUUUUUUUGGUGCCGGAGUUUGAACUCAGGACCUUGCAUUUGCAAGGCAGGCGCCGGAACCACUGAGCUAAAUCCCCGGCCCUUGAUCUUCAAUUUUGAAGCAGUGCAGGCUAAGUUCUACCCCGUGGAAACUUGACUACAGCAACCCAGUUAAACGUGAACCCUGAAUUGCCUUCCACGGUCUUCGGGUGGCUGUGUAGGAAGAAACGUGAAACGGCGUCGUGGUAAUUGAAAGCGUCUGGUAACGGUUGGUUUCCUCUUUACUUUUCUCCUGCUUCGUGUUCAUUCGAGUUGAUGAGCUGAUUUGGAUGCUGCAGUAGAUGAGGCAAGCCCAGCACUUCCAGCCAGAGCCCACCUUGUAAGAGCAGGCCAGCUCGAGGGCCCAGGGAUUCAGCCACCUUCCAGAAGCCUUGUCUUCCAGCUCCUGUGGCCUUUGGGGGACACCCCCGAUCUAACCAGUAGCGAUGAUGAUCCUCCGCCUGCGAUUUUACCUUCUGAAUGGCUGAGCUGGGGCCAUGGUGUAGAGAGGACAGUGUGAGCGAGGACCACGUGGAUUUCUGGACAGGCUGCACUGUCUCCUGUGUGUCCCUGGGAAAUCUGUGGGUCUCCCUUGGCCCCAGUUUCCUCAUCUUUAAAAUGGAGAAACUUCAUUUCAUACUCUACAAAGUCACUUUCAACCCUUAUAUUUCUCAGCUCCAUGGGUUCAGAAGACAUGAGCUGCACUUAUUUACAGUGGCAAUUAACCCACAAGCAGCAAAGGCAAGCGGCUUAUUUGCAUACAGACAGAUUGCUAACGAGAAGACACCAAUAAAACCCUUCAGUAUUAAGAUGGGCUGUCCGGACACUGUCCCUCUGGAGGGGUCUAGACAGAGCCAGGCCACAAGGAGAAAUUCAAUUUAGCCUGAGUGGGUGUGCCAGGGUUAUCAGCGGCCCCAGGAGCCCCGCUGGUGUCUGGCUCCUGGGUGUGUGUGUGGGCGGCCUUAUCUCUGCAGUCCUGGAAUUUGGAACCAUUAUCUGCUGGAACACAGAGACUAAAUCUAAUGCUCCGGUCUGAUGGCCAGGUGAACAGUCAUCCACGUGGCGAUGCUGAUUGCGGUUGGUAAGGAGAGCUGGCAGUGGCAGCCGAAGACCGAGGUGGACGGCUCUGGACUGCAGCAGACCGCUGAGGUCACCCAGGAACGGUGCAUAGACCUCUGCGCAGCUGAGGUUCAGUCUUCAUCUUGUAAAUAAUUACCACCUGAUUCUUGUUACAAGCACAAAACAGAAGAAGGCCGCAAUGGCCCUUUGGAAACUGUAAGCCAACCCAUAUAAAGGACUGAUUUUCAGCAACUAAUAUUCAGCCUUUAUUAUGUACUGGGUUCAAUAUCAGCAAACAUGUGUUAAGUGCUUGUUACGUGGCAGCAUUGUUGUAGGUGUUUUGAAUAAAUCAGUUUAGUUCAUUCUUACAUCCUACACGAUAAAUAGUGUCCUAAGGCCCACUUAGGAGACUAGCAAAUAUACGUAAAGUAAUUUUUCAUAGGUCACAGUUAUUAUGUGGCUAAGCUGAUCUUCUGCCUUAUUCUAGAACUUGCAAUCUGAACAGUGAAACAUCCCAUAAUACACGCUUUUCACUAGAGUCAGGGUAAUGGGGCUUAUUUAGAAAUAAAUUCAACAUUUUAUGUAAUACAUUUUGCUUAUUUUGAGAUAUUAUAUUUGAUUAUUUUGGCUAAUAAAUAGCCAAAUAAUAAUAAAUAAUAAACAUAUUUCAAUGUCUUUAAAAAUUAUUCCUAGAUAUAACCAAAGGCAUCUGCCAUUAUAUUGAAAUGAGUCACUAAUCUGAUUUGACAUUUAGCUCUGUUCCAUUCUAAACGUUAUGACGAAUAUCUUUGUCUAUUAAUUUGAUUUAUUCUCAAAAGUGUAAUGAUGCAAAAGGAAAAAUGUCUCAUUUUAAAUUUUAUUUAAAACAAUCUAGUGCAGAUUUCAAGAAUAUCUAAAAGUAGGGAGAAUGAUCUCAUGGCCCUAGCUUCAGCAAUUGCCAUCACUCAAUCAGUCCUGUUUCAUCUAUUUCCUUCCCUCCACAGCAAUUCUGAAGCAAAUCCUAGAUGCUGUCUCACCGGUAGCUAUUUCAUCAUGUCUUUCUAAAGGAUAAAGACUUUCUAAAAACUGUCUGCAAUGUCAUUGUCACACCUAAAACACUUAUAAAAAUUCUUUCAUAUUGCCAAAUAUUUCAUCAGUUCACAUUAUAUGUUUAUAUAUUUGAAUCAUUAUUUAAAUAAGUUCUAUACAUUGUGAGUUAAUAGUUUUUUAAAGAUUGCUUAUAUCUAUAGAUCCUCUCUCCCUCCCUCCCUCCCUCCCUCUCUCUCCCCCUCUCCCCCUCUCCCCCGCCCUCUCCAGUGUUGGAUCAUUUUUCCUAAUUGCAUCCCCGAAGUAUUAACCUAUUCCUUUCUCCCUCUUACUUCUUGUAAAUUGGUAGAUCUAGAAACUUGGUCAGCUCACAUCCUACCCGGUUCAAGUCUUUUCAGUUCUCGCAAGUUGGAAAAUGCAUUUGCAGUGAACAAACUCAGGUUAGGAUUCAUCUUGAUCAACCAUGCAUGGUGGCCAAAACUAUGGAAUUACUCUGGUUGGGCUGAGGGGUAGGGAGUAUCAUCCAAACCACAUGGGCGGAGCAAAGGGGGCUGAUGCUUCAUAAAACAGAAAUUGGAAAUUUAAAAUAGAACAGUGUUUUAAAUUAAACAAAGUGUGGAUGGAUGCUAACAGGGCAAAACCAGAAAAUACUCCCUGGUCGGCAGUGGACCACAUAAAUGGUGUGGCACCAUAAGAUUAUACUGGAGCAGAAAAAUCUCUCUCCCCUAAGUGACACUGUAGCUGUCACAGUGUUGUAGUGCAACACGUCACUCAUGUUGUUUGUGGUGACAUUGGUGUAGACAAGACUGUUAUAAAAUACAGAACAUGGAAUUAUGUACAGUACAUAAUGUGUGAUGAUAAUAAAUAUCAUGAUGCUGUUUAUGUAUUUACUAUACCAUACUUUGUAAAAUUUUAAUUAAUGCAUAGCCGUUAGAAUAGUGUGUUUUGUUUGGGCAUAUUCAUACAAGCAUGUAACAUACUUUGAUAAUUUUCACCUAGCUCCAUGACCUUCUUUUCCCUUUCCCACUUUUCCUUCCCUAUCCUUUCCUCUUCUCGAAUAGUCUCCCUUCUACUUUCCUGUCAUCAUGUUCUUUAAUUUUUAGAUUCCACAAAUGAGAGAAGACAAUGUUUUCUGAGUCUGGCUUAUUUCACUUAGUAUGAUAAUCUCCAACUUCAUCCAUUUCCCUGCACAUGACAUGAUUUCAUUCUCCUUUAUGGCUGGAUAAUAUUCUGAUGUGUAUAAUUGCCACAUUUUCUUUAUCUAUUCAACUCUUGUUGGGCACCCAGGCGUCUCUGUAACUUGGCUGUUAUCAAUUGUAGCAUAAUAAACAGUAUGCAAUUAUCA